AGGGGUAGAGCUCAGUGGCAGAGUGCAUGCCUAGCAAACCUGAGGUCUUGGGUUCAACCCUCAGUACCUCCA
rnacentral:tRNA from 1 species